rnacentral:rRNA from 1 species
GGUAGCACAGAGGAGCUUGCUCCUUGGGUGACGAGUGGCGGACGGGUGAGUAAUGUCUGGGAAACUGCCCGAUGGAGGGGGAUAACUACUGGAAACGGUAGCUAAUACCGCAUAACGUCGCAAGACCAAAGAGGGGGACCUUCGGGCCUCUUGCCAUCGGAUGUGCCCAGAUGGGAUUAGCUAGUAGGUGGGGUAACGGCUCACCUAGGCGACGAUCCCUAGCUGGUCUGAGAGGAUGACCAGCCACACUGGAACUGAGACACGGUCCAGACUCCUACGGGAGGCAGCAGUGGGGAAUAUUGCACAAUGGGCGCAAGCCUGAUGCAGCCAUGCCGCGUGUAUGAAGAAGGCCUUCGGGUUGUAAAGUACUUUCAGCGGGGAGGAAGGGAUUGUGGUUAAUAACCGCAGUCAUUGACGUUACUCGCAGAAGAAGCACCGGCUAACUCCGUGCCAGCAGCCGCGGUAAUACGGAGGGUGCAAGCGUUAAUCGGAAUUACUGGGCGUAAAGCGCACGCAGGCGGUCUGUCAAGUCGGAUGUGAAAUCCCCGGGCUCAACCUGGGAACUGCAUCCGAAACUGGCAGGCUAGAGUCUUGUAGAGGGGGGUAGAAUUCCAGGUGUAGCGGUGAAAUGCGUAGAGAUCUGGAGGAAUACCGGUGGCGAA